AGAGUUUGAUCCUGGCUCAGGACACACGCUAGCGGCGUACUUAACGAAUGCGAGUCUAGCGAUGAACUCGGCCUGCGGCUUCGGCCAAAGGUUGGGAAUCAGCGGCAAACGGGUGAGUAACACGUAGCUAACCUACCCUCGACAUCGGGAUAGCUGCCAGAAAUGGCGGGUAAUACCGGGUACGUCCCCCUGGUCGCAUGACUGGGAGGGGAGAGGCUUCGGUCGCUCGAGGAUGGGGCUGCGGCUCAUUAGCUAGUUGGUAGGGUAACGGCCUACCAAGGCGACGAUGGGUAGCCGGCCUGAGGGUGCCCGGCCACACUGGGACUGAGAGAUGGUCCAGACUCCUACGGGAGUUAGCAUCGAGGGAUAUUGCGCAAUGGGCGAAAGCCUGACGCAGUGACGCCGCGUGGGUGACGAAGGCCUUCGGGUCGUAAAGCCCUGUCGGGUGGGAUGAGUCCCCCGGGUAGUGCCGGGGGGUGACAGUACCACCCAAGAAAGCCACAGCUAACUACGUGCCAGCAGCUGCGGUAAUACGUAGGUGACAAGCGUUGUCCGGAAUUACUGGGCGUAAAGGGCAUCUAGGCGGCUUGAUAAGUGGAAUGUGAAAGUCCGGGACUCAACCUCGGAAAGCCGUUUCAAACUGUCAGGCUUGAGUGCGGGAGAGGGAAGUGGAACUCACGGUGUAGCGGUGAAAUGCGUAGAUAUCGUGAGGAACACCAGUGGCGAAGGCGGCUUCCUGGACCGCAACUGACGCUGAAGUGCGAAAGCUAGGGGAGCAAACGGGAUUAGAUACCCCGGUAGUCCUAGCCGUAAACGAUGACCACUAGGUGUUGGGGGCAUCGACCCUCCCAGUGCCGAAGCUAACGCAUUAAGUGGUCCGCCUGGGGAGUACGGCCGCAAGGCUGAAACUCAAAGGAAUUGACGGGGGCCCGCACAAGCGGUGGAGCAUGUUGCUUAAUCCGACGCAACGCGAAGAACCUUACCAGGCCUUGACUACUAGCGACCGCCCUCGAAAGGGGGCUUCCGGGCAACCGGCGCGAAAAACAGGUGGUGCAUGGCUGUCGUCAGCUCGUGUCGUGAGAUGUUGGGUUAAGUCCCGCAACGAGCGCAACCCUCGCUGCGUGUUACCAGCGGGUUAUGCCGGGGACUCACGCGGUACUGCCGGAGCAAUCCGGAGGAAGGUGGGGAUGACGUCAAGUCGGCAUGCCCCUUAAGGUCUGGGCUGCAAACAUGCUACAAUGGCCGGUACAAAGGGCUGCAAGGUCGCGAGGCCAAGCCAAUCCCUAAAAGCCGGUCUCAGUUCGGAUUGGAGUCUGCAACUCGACUCCAUGAAGCUGGAAUCGCUAGUAACCGCAGAUCAGCAACGCUGUGGUGAAUACGUUCCCGGGCCUUGUACACACCGCCCGUCACGUCAUGAAAGCCGGCUACACCCGAAGCCAAUGGGCCAACCCUUCGGGGAGGCAGUUGUCGAAGGUGAAUCCGGUGAUUGGGACGAAGUCGUAACAAGGUA
rnacentral:rRNA from 1 species